CUGGUUUUUAAGUCACUCUGUGACACUACAAACAGCAGCUUCACUUUUAAAGACCCACUGACAGGCUACUGUGCGUGAGUUAAACAGCUGAGAAAAUGAAAGCUCAUAUUCUGUUCCUGAUCCUCGCUCUUGCGGUCGGACUUACAGCAUUGCCCGCUGAUGAGGACUCUAAAGUCAUUCCAGAGGACAUAGCCCUGCAACAGAUAAUGACGGGUGGAAUCGUGAGGCCAAUUACACCAGAAAAAGCUGGAGAAAAACCUGACGAUCCAUGAGAGAAACGAAAGAUUUUAAAAGCCUUCCUCUAAAUGUGGCUCCAACCCAAAGCAUGUUGAAUAAACAAAUAUAGCAAUUAAA